AACGAACGCUGGCGGCAGGCUUAACACAUGCAAGUCGAGCGCCCCGCAAGGGGAGCGGCAGACGGGUGAGUAACGCGUGGGAAUCUACCCUUCUCUACGGGAUAGCUCCGGGAAACUGGAAUUAAUACCGUAUACGUCCUGAGGGAGAAAGAUUUAUCGGGGAAGGAUGAGCCCGCGUUGGAUUAGCUAGUUGGUGGGGUAAAGGCCUACCAAGGCGACGAUCCAUAGCUGGUCUAAGAGGAUGAUCAGCCACAUUGGGACUGAGACACGGCCCAAACUCCUACGGGAGGCAGCAGUGGGGAAUAUUGGACAAUGGGCGCAAGCCUGAUCCAGCCAUGCCGCGUGAGCGAUGAAGGCCCUAGGGUUGUAAAGCUCUUUCAGUGGGGACGAUAAUGACGGUACCCACAGAAGAAGCCCCGGCUAACUUCGUGCCAGCAGCCGCCGUAACAC
rnacentral:rRNA from 1 species